rnacentral:rRNA from 1 species
GACGAACGCUGGCGGCGUGCUUAACACAUGCAAGUCGAACGGAAAGGCCCUGCUUGCAGGGUACUCGAGUGGCGAACGGGUGAGUAACACGUGGGUGAUUUGCCCUGCACGUCGGGAUAAGCAUGGGAAACUGGGUCUAAUACCGGCCAGGAGCAAUUUUUAGUGUGAUGGUUGGAAAGUUUUUUCGGUGUAGGAUGAGCUCGCGGCCUAUCGGCUUGUUGGUGGGGUAAUGGCCUACCAAGGCGGCGACGGGUAGCCGGCCUGAGAGGGUGGACGGCCACAUUAGGACUGAGAUACGGCCCAGUCUCCUACGGGCGGCAGCGGUGGGGAAUAUUGCACAAUGAGCGCGAGCCUGAUGCAGCGGUGUCGCGUUGGUGAUGACCUCCUGUGGGUUGUGAACGCCUGUCGCUAGGGACGAAGCUUUUUGUGACGGUACCUUGAUAAGAAGCACCGGCUAACUACGUG